AAGUCGUAACAAGGUUUCCGUAGGUGAACCUGCGGAAGGAUCAUUAUUGAAAUAAACCUGAUGGGUUGUUGCUGGCUCUCUAGGGAGCAUGUGCACACUUGUCAUCUUUAUAUCUCCACCUGUGCACCUUCUGUAGAUCUGAAUAGCUUUCUGAAUGCUUAGCAUUUGGGUUUGGAGAUUGACUUUUCUGUCUCUCUUUAUCUUCAGGUCUAUGUUUCUCCAUAUACCCCUAUGUAUGUUAUAGAAUGUAAUAAAUGGGCCUUUGUGCCUAUAAAUUUAUACAACUUUCAGCAACGGAUCUCUUGGUUCUC
rnacentral:misc_RNA from 1 species